AAAUACUGUGGAAACAGACACCCUGGAUGCCCUUGAGGUUUGUGUUGCUGCAUGGAAAGCAGUGCGAGUCAUGAGAGGACUGAGUGUUCCUUCUGGAUGCGCCAAAACGCCUGCUUUUGAAACCGGAGAGACAGACGCUCUGCACCGAGUAUCCAGGCUACAGCUCUGGAUCUAAAGAAAAAGGAAAAGGCUGGAUUAAGACGAGAUAAAUACGAGUCUGUUGGUCAAGGGCAUUUCUUGCUGCAGUGCUUCAAAUGGCUUGUCAACUGCAGCAAUUCCAUAAUUCACGGAUGAAUCCCAGCAUGAUGGAAUGGUAGCUCCGGAAACACGUGGAUGGAAAAGAAAAAGAUCCCAUGCCAGCAGGCUCAACUGCACCAACGCUCUCUCGGGCUGUGGGCGGGACUGUGAUGCUCUGUGCAUCGGGCACCGUAAUCAACAAAAGCAAGGACUUACAAACCUGUUAGUACCAGAAGAUCCCAUAUGGAAGACAUCGAGAAGAAACCCUAAGGGAUAGCUGAUGCGUGACUGCAUAUCUCCCUAAUCCAGCAUGAACAUCCAACAGUUUCUAUCACGCCGAGUGCUGCAGAAUAACAGGACUAUAAGGUUAGGCUGGUUAGCCCUUUACUGUCUACCUCUGCUUUCAAAGAUGCAUAUAUUUCUCACUCAGGCCGGUGAGGUUAGUAAUGUUACGCCGAGUUUCCUUCAUGAGACCAAAGUCCAGUUUGCGCGCUCUCGCCUCAGUCAUGAUCAUCUAUCGUUUACUAUAUACUUCUUAUUUAUGAUGAAACAUUGAUUUAAAUUAAGAUUCAAUUAAUUAAAAAAACGAAUAUUUCACUUUAAAGAAAGGUUUAUUUGUGGUUUCUCUUCAAGAUCUCUGUGAAAGUUUUAAAGUCGCUUUCAUAACGGUCAUGUCCGUCAAUAUUAAACGCAUGUGUAGACUGAUAUUUUUCUAAUGUCUGCAGUGGACCACCGAUCUAUAUUAUAUAACAUUAUAUAGAUGAGUGAGUGGUCUGGACUAGAGUGCUAGCAUUCUAUGUAAACAAUACUUCCACAGGAAGUGGAAAACCGUUUAGUCAGUUGAAACCGCAAUGAAUCAUGGGAAAUAGAACGGUCGCAGAAUAAGGUGGAUUCCAGUACUUUUUUUUGUGAUCAUUUGAAAAUGUGUAACAUGGAAAUGAUGAUACUGUGUGAUGGUACUGUUUCAUAUAGUUACAGUUUAGCCAAACUGCUUGGAAAUAGCUUGGUUUAAAGCCAUUUUUCAGUGUAUGGUCUAUCUAUGCUGGGGAAUUCCUGUGGUUAAUGUAUGUUUCACUUUAAUGGAAAAGAACAUUUGAACAUUUUUUUUAAACUUCUUUUGUGUUUCACAUAAGCAAGAGAGUCUCAUUGGUUUCGUUUUUGAGCAAACUUUUUCUUUACAAUACAGAGUAAAUACUUCUAGAAGUGAAGGAAAUAAGCAUAGACAAAUGAGACCCAAGAGCCACAUUAAACAUGCAGACCAAGUCAGCAUUAUACCCAUAAGGCCAUUUGCCACACCACAAACGCCUCAUGACUCUGCACAGAUUUCCAGACUUCUUUCAUCCAACGCCAUGCAGCAGUUAAGCAGUCUGCCCCAGUCAGAAAUGGUUUGGCAUUGGAAGCGCGUCUUUACUCAAAUCUCAGACUUUUGCCUUUUAGUUUGGCUGUAUAUCAGCAAGUUAAUUAUUUGUUACCUUACUCUUCCAUCAAUUUCCACAGAGUCCAUCUCUAUAAAUCAUUGUGACCAGUCUUUUAAAGCCGUAUUGAAAGUCGGACGACAUUUAUCUGAAAAGUUAUUGCAGGUGGACAUGAAUGCUAAUGUGUUUGCGAGAAUCUUUUUAGACAAGCUGUCUGAGUGCAUUAUAAUUGUUUUUUUUUUUCUUCUGUUUAGCGCAUGAAGAAAAAAAAGAGAUUGUACGGUUAAAUCAUUUACUAUAAAUACUGCAAUAUUCCAAUAAAAAAUAAGAAUUGUCCAAUUUGAAUUCUUGCUGACUUUAAAGAUAAGUAUAAUUUCCUUUUGGGAGAAAACACAAUUCGAAAAAUCCUUAAUUUUAGGGACCAGAUUUUCCAAGUCAAUUUGUUCGUUUCGUUCGUUGAAUGAACCAAAUGACUUGGAAAAAGAU